rnacentral:misc_RNA from 1 species
AAAAGAAUAAAUAAUGACAAGUUGGGAGGGUUGCAUUUUAGCUAUGAAGGAGAGAGUAAAUUUCUCUAGCGGAAAAAAUAAAGGAAGAUGAGGCAAGCUUAGGGUUUUAGGAAGAUGAGGCAAGCUUGAAUAUGAUUGUAAAAUCGUUACAAAAAGAAGAAAAGAUAGUAGUGGAACUAACUCUAGAAAUUUCGACUAAUAGGUUAAAUUUAUUACGGUGCUUAUUUUGGAUUCUAAUUGAGUAUGGAUUUUUGUUUGCUUUGCUUUUAAAAUUUCAGCUUGAUUUUUAAAGUUUGUGUUGAAAAUGAGAAGAUUGUAGGAUUCUAUUUAUUGUAAGGGUUUGAAAGUGUGGAGAUUGCAGAUCCAAAUCAUAGAUAUACUGAAUACUAUUCAAAUAAAAGUGUGAAAUAUGAGAGGAACAGAAGAGUGUGGAUUUUCUGGCAUGCAUUACACAUGUACUGAAAUGGAUAGUGGAAUAGUCUCUCUACCUUGCAUUGAGGCACAGUGAUUUUCCAAUGAGUUUUGAGUGCUCACCUUUGUUUAAUUUGUAGCAAUUGUGGUCCAACUGCAUUAGUGUAUUACAUGUAUGUGUUUGUUGUCUUUUACAUUAUAUUCAUUCUUAGUUGUGGAAUUAAGAAUUGGAUAGCCAUAGCGGAAUUGUUAAAGGAAAGUUAAUGAUCCUUUUACUUUUCUUCCUACUUAUAAGUCAGCCAAGUUUUUUGAAGCAUGCUUGUGCAGCAGCCCAUAUAUCUGUAUUUAACCCACUAUUUACUUUGAUCCUUUUCUUCAAUAUGAUAUUCUGGGCUCACGUUGCUCAUUUUGACUUACACCGCACUGAUUAUAGAAACAUUGACAACUUAGCUUUCUUAGGCCUAAUAUUAAGUAAAAUAUUAGUUUGGAGUUCAAGUCUUGACAUCAUUAUUGUGAGAAUAUUCUAAUAGUACUAUUGUUAUUAUUAGUAGUAGCGUUGUUAUUAUUUUCAAUUUUCAUAUUUACAGUGUUGGCUUCACUUGUGAAUAUUCAUCUUACCUAUUUGUAAAGGCAGUGAAGGGUUUCACCUCGAAUUCAAUAUAGGGGAGAGAGUGUGUGUGUAGUUUAAAUUAUUGCUUAAAUGGAAUAAAUUAUGGAGAGCAAAAGGGAUUGAAUAAUUAAUUCAUUUUUUAAGUUGUGUAUAUAUGAAUAAUGAUAGGAGGAUAAAUGAAAAUUAUAGAUUUAGGUAAUGUAGUAACCAGCUUGAAUGGUAUGCUUA